rnacentral:rRNA from 1 species
GGCCAGACUCCUACGGGAGGCAGCAGUGGGGGAUAUUGCACAAUGGGGGGAACCCUGAUGCAGCGACGCCGCGUGGGUGAAGGAGCGUUUCGGCGCGUAAAGCCCUAUCGGCAGGGAAGAAGGAGGACGGUACCUGACUAAGAAGCCCCGGCUAACUACGUGCCAGCAGCCGCGGUAAUACGUAGGGGGCAAGCGUUAUCCGGAUUUACUGGGUGUAAAGGGGGCGCAGGCGGCAGCGCAAGCCAGGAGUUAAAGCCCGGGGCCCAACCCCGGGACUGCUUUUGAAACUGGGUUGCUAGAUUGCAGGAGAGGUAAGUGGAAUUCCUAGUGUAGCGGUGAAAUGCGUAGAUAUUAGGAGGAACACCAGUGGCGAAGGCGGCUUACUGGACUUUAAAUGACGCUGAGGCUCGAAAGCGUGGGGAGCAAACAGGAUUAGAUACCCGAGUA